GGCGGGGCCGCCGCUCAGGUGUGGGGCGGGGCUGGGGGCUCCCCCGCCAGUGGGGUGUCCCUGCGAUCUCGCCGCGGAUCACCCACGUCAGUCCUCCUCCGUCGCCGGGGAUUCACAAGCCUUCACCCCUUCGGGCCGCAUCCUCGGGAGUGUUGAGACCCCAACACGCCACAUCCUCCCCUGCUUAGAUCACAACGUUUCCAAGCGCCUGGUUGAGAUCUCCCACUCCCACACGCCCCCUCAGCCCCACCCCAGGACGCUCUUCACGUCCACCUUCAGAGCCACCUCCUCCAGGAAGUCUCCCUGCCAGCCUCCCCAUUUCCCAUUUCUGCGCGUCGGAGGACAGCCCGGGAAACUGAAGUGCAGAGAAAGGCCUGGAUUCGGGCCGCCUGUUUCUGGUGCCUCGCUUCCAAGACCGGGCGAGUCGGCCUCUGGGUGACAACGGAUCAGCCUGCGUCCACUGCGCGUCCUCAGGCUCAGUUUUACUCGUCCCUAGAAUGAGGCUCAGGACCUAGAGUCCGACCUGGGCCCUUUCCAGCAGCCACCGUGUGACUUCCAGACUGAAGAGUGGGCUCCAGGACUGGGGCUGUGAUUGAAGAUCGGGCAGACAGAGCAAGGGACCCAGAGAGAGACAGAGCAUGAACGGGGGAGGGGCAGAGAGAGAGGGAGACACAGAAUCGGAA